CGAAAAGGAUGCAGAGGCCUCAGCGUUGAAACAAAAGAAAGGGUUUCGGUUGUUCUGUCCGGAGGCGGACCCGGUGGGUCUUUCGUGUCCACCCUGCCUUUGGGACCUGGUGCAGAUGGUUUGAUGCCCCUCAUCUCGACUUCUGUGUUGGCCACCAAAUGGAGAGCUCAUGAUCAUCUUCUGUCCACUGUGUGCUUCCUAGGGCACAUCUUCUGGGUCGCCCAGAGAGCAGAAUGUCAUCCUGGAGGUCUGGAGUGUGAAUAUUCCCUGGCAAGGCAUUAGAGGUCUGAGAUGGUCGGACGUGCUGGCGAAGGCAUUGGCCCUGGCCGGGUCAGUGCACCCUCCUGUGGUGCUAGUUCUGCAUGCCGGGGGUAAUGACCUCUGUUUCCUCCGGGUGCCAGACCUCAUCACUCUUAUGAAGGGGGAUUUGGAACGUAUUAUUGGUUUCUUUGCAGAAGUGGUCAUUGUCUGGUCGAAAAUGGUUCCGAAGGUUACCUGGCAGGGGGCCAGGGAGGCUUCGGCUGUGAAAAGGGCCCGUCGGACGGUUAACUCCCGGAUGGCACGAUUUGUGAGGUCCAAAGGUGGCGUGGUUGUCAGACACCGGCAGCUGGAGGGUGACAACCGGCACCUGAUGAUCAAUGAUGUUGGGAUGGACAUAUUUUUGUCGGGGUUGCAAGAUGGUGUGGAGCAGGCGUUGUUCUUGCUGGGUGGGAGUUGGAGUGUUGUGUAGGGGUACAUGUACUCCUCUGUGGCAGUGGAGAAGAAGAAUAAAAGCAGAGAUCAGGAGGCUGAAGGCGGAGUUACCCGCUGGCAAUGCUUGCGGUUAGGUAUAGCACUUCAGCCAUUGUUUACAAUUACUGUGACCGCU